GGGGAAUAUUGCACAAUGGGGGAAACCCUGAUGCAGCGACGCCGCGUGAGUGAAGAAGUGCUUCGGCAUGUAAAGCUCUAUCAGCAGGGAAGAAGAUGACGGUACCUGACUAAGAAGCCCCGGCUAACUACGUGCCAGCAGCCGCGGUAAUACGUAGGGGGCAAGCGUUAUCCGGAUUUACUGGGUGUAAAGGGAGCGUAGGUGGCAGAUCAAGUCAGAUGUGAAAGCCCGUGGCUCAACUGCGGGAUUGCAUUUGAAACUGGUUUGCUAGAGUGCAGGAGAGGUAAGUGGAAUUCCUAGUGUAGCGGUGAAAUGCGUAGAUAUUAGGAGGAACACCAGUGGCGAAGGCGGCUUACUGGACUGUAACUGACACUGAGGCUCGAAAGCGUGGGGAGCAAAC
rnacentral:rRNA from 1 species